rnacentral:rRNA from 1 species
UACGAAGGGGGCUAGCGUUGUUCGGAUUUACUGGGCGUAGAGCGCACGUAGGCGGAUCGUUAAGUCAGGGGUGAAAUCCUGGAGCUCAACUCCAGAACUGCCUUUGAUACUGGAGAGCUUGAGUCCGGGAGAGGUGAGUGGAACUCCGAGUGUAGAGGUGAAAUUCGUAGAUAUUCGGAAGAACACCAGUGGCGAAGGCGGCUCACUGGCCCGGUACUGACGCUGAGGUGCGAAAGCGUGGGGAGCAAACAGG